rnacentral:rRNA from 1 species
CAUUCCUACGGGGGGCAGCAGUGGGGGAUAUUGCACAAUGGGGGCAACCCUGAUGCAGCGACGCCGCGUGAGCGAUGGAGUACUUCGGUAUGUAAAGCUCUGUCAGCAGGGAAGAGAAUGACGGUACCUGACCAAGAAGCCCCGGCUAAAUACGUGCCAGCAGCUGCGGUAAUACGUAUGGGGCAAGCGUUAUCCGGAUUUACUGGGUGUAAAGGGAGCGUAGACGGCAGCGCAAGUCUGGAGUGAAAUGCCGGGGCUCAACCCCGGAACUGCUUUGGAAACUGUGCAGCUAGAGUGCGGGAGAG